rnacentral:rRNA from 1 species
AAAUGCACAUGCUGUGAGCUCGAUGAGUAGGGCGGGACACGUGGUAUCCUGUCUGAAUAUGGGGGGACCAUCCUCCAAGGCUAAAUACUCCUGACUGACCGAUAGUGAACCAGUACCGUGAGGGAAAGGCGAAAAGAACCCCGGCGAGGGGAGUGAAAAAGAACCUGAAACCGUGUACGUACAAGCAGUGGGAGCCUCUUUAUGGGGUGACUGCGUACCUUUUGUAUAAUGGGUCAGCGACUUAUAUUCUGUAGCAAGGUUAACCGAAUAGGGGAGCCGAAGGGAAACCGAGUCUUAACUGGGCGUUAAGUUGCAGGGUAUAGACCCGAAACCCGGUGAUCUAGCCAUGGGCAGGUUGAAGGUUGGGUAACACUAACUGGAGGACCGAACCGACUAAUGUUGAAAAAUUAGCGGAUGACUUGUGGCUGGGGGUGAAAGGCCAAUCAAACCGGGAGAUAGCUGGUUCUCCCCGAAAGCUAUUUAGGUAGCGCCUCGUGAAUUCAUCUCCGGGGGUAGAGCACUGUUUCGGCAAGGGGGUCAUCCCGACUUACCAACCCGAUGCAAACUGCGAAUACCGGAGAAUGUUAUCACGGGAGACACACGGCGGGUGCUAACGUCCGUCGUGAAGAGGGAAACAACCCAGACCGCCAGCUAAGGUCCCAAAGUCAUGGUUAAGUGGGAAACGAUGUGGGAAGGCCCAGACAGCCAGGAUGUUGGCUUAGAAGCAGCCAUCAUUUAAAGAAAGCGUAAUAGCUCACUGGUCGAGUCGGCCUGCGCGGAAGAUGUAACGGGGCUAAACCAUGCACCGAAGCUGCGGCAGCGACGCUUAUGCGUUGUUGGGUAGGGGAGCGUUCUGUAAGCCUGCGAAGGUGUACUGUGAGGUAUGCUGGAGGUAUCAGAAGUGCGAAUGCUGACAUAAGUAACGAUAAAGCGGGUGAAAAGCCCGCUCGCCGGAAGACCAAGGGUUCCUGUCCAACGUUAAUCGGGGCAGGGUGAGUCGACCCCUAAGGCGAGGCCGAAAGGCGUAGUCGAUGGGAAACAGGUUAAUAUUCCUGUACUUGGUGUUACUGCGAAGGGGGGACGGAGAAGGCUAUGUUGGCCGGGCGACGGUUGUCCCGGUUUAAGCGUGUAGGCUGGUUUUCCAGGCAAAUCCGGAAAAUCAAGGCUGAGGCGUGAUGACGAGGCACUACGGUGCUGAAGCAACAAAUGCCCUGCUUCCAGGAAAAGCCUCUAAGCAUCAGGUAACAUCAAAUCGUACCCCAAACCGACACAGGUGGUCAGGUAGAGAAUACCAAGGCGCUUGAGAGAACUCGGGUGAAGGAACUAGGCAAAAUGGUGCCGUAACUUCGGGAGAAGGCACGCUGAUA